rnacentral:tRNA from 1 species
UCUUUCGUAGCUUAGUAGUCAGAGAAUUAGUGUGUAAAGUCAAAGGUCUCGGGUUCGAUUCCCGGCGAGGGUG